UCGCGGGCGCAGCGGCUCGCGUGGCUGCCGCCACAGCGAGGUGGAAAGGACCCUGCGUGGAACAAAGCACGCGAGCGAGGGGUCGCAAAGACGCCUUCAGGUUCACUGAAGAGAAUGUUAACUGGUGACAAAUAAUGCUCUCCAGACCUCUGGUUUUCUCUGCUUCAUAACACGAAAAAGACUUUCCCAGCAGUAUGGAUCUUCUCUUGACAUUUGAGAAGGUGGUCCUCUUCCUUUUUCUUGGUGACUGCUCUUAGGCUGUGAGAUGCAGGUCUUUCUCUUCUCGCAAGAGAAAGCCGGUCCUUUAUUUUCAUGGAGCUGAAUGAACAAAGACCUCUCUGCUUCCUGUUGCCGCCAUUUCACCCAACAUUUGAGUCACCAGAUGGCUUCUCCCACAGAAGCACCACGCCAUUUUACAAAAACUCAAAAGCAGAGUACCAGAAAUGAGUGUUUCUUAUUCUGAAAAAGUGUCUCCUGUGCCAGCUUUUCAUCCAGAUUCCUGUAUUGCAUUUUAAAAUGAGAAAUGCUUUGUAAUCAGAUGUAUGGAGAAGCCAGCAUUCUUCACUAAUACCUCCCCUUUCAUUUUAGGAGGGAUAAAUUUUUCACUGUGUUGUAUUGGAGCUCCUAUCAGAUAAAGUGUUUGUGUGCUUUGCCGUGCCAGGCUGUCUUGAUAUGUAUGAGAAGUUACAAGAAGAAAACCAGACUAUACUUUGCAUUCUGAAAUGAAGAAGAAACUUACCUGGGGAGGACUCCAAGCAGCCAUUUUUUAGUGCAGGACCCAGGCUUGACUUCGUAGAUGGAUGUCCGAUGUCAACUUGCAUAAAGCAGCCAAUGCAAAGGAACAAAUGCAGAGCCACCUUGUCUAUAGUGUGUAAAUGCAUCAUCGCAGUCUGUGAUCAGAAUCUGUAUUUGCAUGUGUAAAUCCACAUACUUGGUGGAUAUGAUAAGCUUUGAUGAGAAGGAGGAAUUACUCUGCACUUUUUUUUUUCAAAGAAAAUGAAGCUUUAAAGACCUCUAGAGUUACAGGAUAAUGAUUGGGUUUAGGUUAAAUCAUUCACUCUCCAUUUUUAAGAAUCCUAAACGGCAAAAAGAACAAAAAUACUCUGCCAUCAAAGGAAUGGCACAGAACUUUAUUUGCUACAGGAAUUCUCUGGUGUGAAGGAAGAGACCAGAGGUGUAAAGCUCCAGUUCAUCACUCACCUUCCUUGGCACAGUUUCAGCUUUUCAUAUUGCUCAUGGAAUUGACUUUUUAGUUCUUCUGUGGCUGAUGGAGAACUGAGAUGACCUACGUAUGUUCCCAUCACAGAGAGAAAUAGACCUGAAAGAAUGAACUCCUAGCCACUUAAAAAUCAUGUUGAGAGCAGAAAUGCAUAGGGUGGGCUUUUUCUCUGUUUCCUCCUGAAUUUUGUUCCCCAACUAAGGAGCAGUCUGUUUUUUUUAUGUUUACAUAGCAUUCUUUGUCUUGAUCAUUUGUGAUUAUUUGGGAUGUUUUCUGUCAUUCUGAGCUUAUAAUGCUCACAUGCUCCCUGCUGCGGUAUUGUUUGUAUUAAGUAUGAUUUCUUGGCAAAAGAGCCAGAACAGAGAUAGGAUAUAUAUUCUAUUCCACUUUAAUUUGGAGCUCUUCUUAGUGCACCUUAUUCCAAACUCAUAAUUUAGAAAAUAUGACUUACUAGCUUAAAAUAAUAUUUUCAAAUCUGGAUCAAAUGAAAGUAUAUAGAUUCUGUUAAUAAUAAGGCUUGGGGGAAGUAGUAACAGGGCUGGGGGACAUUUGGGAGGGGUUAUUUUUCCUUUGGAAAACUGCUGGAAGGAGCCAGGCAGCCUGAAAAUGGCUGGAGAGAAAAAAAAGAAAAAAAAAAAAAAGCGUCAGCUGAUUCUUUUUAUAACUCUUAACAAUAUGUUGCAAGGGCAGCAUUCUAAUACUUAAAAAGUAGGAAAUUUAAUAGGGAACAAGUUCCAUAGUAGAGUGAGGACAAAUACAGUUUGAAUUCUGGUCUUUAUGAUAGAAUUCAGUUAGAUCCAUAUUUAGAUGUAUUUGUAACAAGAAUUUAUGAGUUUUAUCAAUUUUUUGGUUUCCUUGAAGAAAAGAUCAGGCUCAUAAGUUACAAAAUGAUGGGCAAGACAGUGCAUGUCAAAACAAAGCCAACUGUAAUGAGCAGAGGUGCUCUAAUGUGCUGGGUAGUGUUUUGAUGAGCUAUGUAAGAGUCAUGUCAGUUGUGGCAAGGCAACCACAAACUUGACCUGACUUCUUUUAAGAAUGUAGGAUGUCCUUGCAGUUUGAAUACAACCUGAAUUUUACUGUUCUAGAGGCAACUGGAAACACAUUUCUUUUUAGGUCCUCCUUGUGUUGAAAUGAAUGGGAUUUAAUGUAGAUGUAUGUAGAAGUAGGGUCCGUCUCUUAAGUGAUGGAAAAUACUGUCAAUAUCAUAGGAUUAUACAAGGUUGGAAGUUAACUGGUGUAAGACACAUCUUUUCCAAAUGUAGGAAUUUCUGUUCCUUCCUUCUCUCUAUGCUCGCUAUCCUCUGGACGCUGGAGCUGGCAGCUUUUUCUAGUACCGUUUGGAGACAUGGGAGGCAGGAAUGUGUUUUUGUUUUCUCCGUGAGUAUGUAUAAAACUCCGAUGAGAAAGUAGACACCUUAACCUCUUUGAUGCCACAUCCAUAGGAAUAG